rnacentral:rRNA from 1 species
GGGUUGUGAGGUUAAGCGACUAAGCGUACACGGUGGAUGCCCUGGCAGUCAGAGGCGAUGAAGGACGUGCUAAUCUGCGAUAAGCGUCGGUAAGGUGAUAUGAACCGUUAUAACCGGCGAUUUCCGAAUGGGGAAACCCAGUGUGAUUCGUCACACUAUCAUUAACUGAAUCCAUAGGUUAAUGAGGCGAACCGGGGGAACUGAAACAUCUAAGUACCCCGAGGAAAAGAAAUCAACCGAGAUUCCCCCAGUAGCGGCGAGCGAACGGGGAGGAGCCCAGAGCCUGAAUCAGCAUGUGUGUUAGUGGAAGCGUCUGGAAAGGCGCGCGAUACAGGGUGACAGCCCCGUACACAAAAGCGCAUGUGUUGUGAGCUCGAUGAGUAGGGCGGGACACGUGGUAUCCUGUCUGAAUAUGGGGGGACCAUCCUCCAAGGCUAAAUACUCCUGACUGACCGAUAGUGAACCAGUACCGUGAGGGAAAGGCGAAAAGAACCCCGGCGAGGGGAGUGAAAAAGAACCUGAAACCGUGUACGUACAAGCAGUGGGAGCCCCACCACCAAAGCAUUCUCUGGUGUUGAAGGCCCUGCAAAGCAGCAUCGCGGUGGCGGAGCGUCGUUUGCGACGCCCAACACACAAAACAAGCGGUGAGUGCUUUGGGGUGGGGUGACUGCGUACCUUUUGUAUAAUGGGUCAGCGACUUAUAUUCUGUAGCAAGGUUAACCGAAUAGGGGAGCCGGAGGGAAACCGAGUCUUAACCGGGCGUUAAGUUGCAGGGUAUAGACCCGAAACCCGGUGAUCUAGCCAUGGGCAGGUUGAAGGUUGGGUAACACUAACUGGAGGACCGAACCGACUAAUGUUGAAAAAUUAGCGGAUGACCUGUGGCUGGGGGUGAAAGGCCAAUCAAACCGGGAGAUAGCUGGUUCUCCCCGAAAGCUAUUUAGGUAGCGCCUCGUGAAUUCAUCUCCGGGGGUAGAGCACUGUUUCGGCUAGGGGGCCAUCCCGGCUUACCAACCCGAUGCAAACUGCGAAUACCGGAGAAUGUUAUCACGGGAGACACACGGCGGGUGCUAACGUCCAUCGUGAAGAGGGAAACAACCCAGACCGCCAGCUAAGGUCCCAAAGUCAUGGUUAAGUGGGAAACGAUGUGGGAAGGCCCAGACAGCCAGGAUGUUGGCUUAGAAGCAGCCAUCAUUUAAAGAAAGCGUAAUAGCUCACUGGUCGAGUCGGCCUGCGCGGAAGAUGUAACGGGGCUAAACCAUGCACCGAAGCUGCGGCAGCGACACUGUGUGUUGUUGGGUAGGGGAGCGUUCUGUAAGCCUGCGAAGGUGGCCUGUGAGGGUUGCUGGAGGUAUCAGAAGUGCGAAUGCUGACAUAAGUAACGAUAAAGCGGGUGAAAAGCCCGCUCGCCGGAAGACCAAGGGUUCCUGUCCAACGUUAAUCGGGGCAGGGUGAGUCGACCCCUAAGGCGAGGCCGAAAGGCGUAGUCGAUGGGAAACGGGUUAAUAUUCCCGUACUUGGUGUUACUGCGAAGGGGGGACGGAGAAGGCUAUGUUGGCCGGGCGACGGUUGUCCCGGUUUAAGCGUGUAGGCUGGUUUUCCAGGCAAAUCCGGAAAAUCAAGGCUGAGGCGUGACGACGAGGCACUACGGUGCUGAAGCAACAAAUGCCCUGCUUCCAGGAAAAGCCUCUAAGCAUCAGGUAACAUCAAAUCGUACCCCAAACCGACACAGGUGGUCAGGUAGAGAAUACCAAGGCGCUUGAGAGAACUCGGGUGAAGGAACUAGGCAAAAUGGUGCCGUAACUUCGGGAGAAGGCACGCUGACAUGUAGGUGAAGUGAUUUACUCAUGGAGCUGAAGUCAGUCGAAGAUACCAGCUGGCUGCAACUGUUUAUUAAAAACACAGCACUGUGCAAACACGAAAGUGGACGUAUACGGUGUGACGCCUGCCCGGUGCCGGAAGGUUAAUUGAUGGGGUCAGCGCAAGCGAAGCUCCUGAUCGAAGCCCCGGUAAACGGCGGCCGUAACUAUAACGGUCCUAAGGUAGCGAAAUUCCUUGUCGGGUAAGUUCCGACCUGCACGAAUGGCGUAAUGAUGGCCAGGCUGUCUCCACCCGAGACUCAGUGAAAUUGAACUCGCUGUGAAGAUGCAGUGUACCCGCGGCAAGACGGAAAGACCCCGUGAACCUUUACUAUAGCUUGACACUGAACAUUGAGCCUUGAUGUGUAGGAUAGGUGGGAGGCUUUGAAGCGUGGACGCCAGUCUGCGUGGAGCCGACCUUGAAAUACCACCCUUUAAUGUUUGAUGUUCUAACGUGGACCCGUGAUCCGGGUUGCGGACAGUGUCUGGUGGGUAGUUUGACUGGGGCGGUCUCCUCCUAAAGAGUAACGGAGGAGCACGAAGGUUGGCUAAUCCUGGUCGGACAUCAGGAGGUUAGUGCAAUGGCAUAAGCCAGCUUGACUGCGAGCGUGACGGCGCGAGCAGGUGCGAAAGCAGGUCAUAGUGAUCCGGUGGUUCUGAAUGGAAGGGCCAUCGCUCAACGGAUAAAAGGUACUCCGGGGAUAACAGGCUGAUACCGCCCAAGAGUUCAUAUCGACGGCGGUGUUUGGCACCUCGAUGUCGGCUCAUCACAUCCUGGGGCUGAAGUAGGUCCCAAGGGUAUGGCUGUUCGCCAUUUAAAGUGGUACGCGAGCUGGGUUUAGAACGUCGUGAGACAGUUCGGUCCCUAUCUGCCGUGGGCGCUGGAGAACUGAGGGGGGCUGCUCCUAGUACGAGAGGACCGGAGUGGACGCAUCACUGGUGUUCGGGUUGUCAUGCCAAUGGCACUGCCCGGUAGCUAAAUGCGGAAGAGAUAAGUGCUGAAAGCAUCUAAGCACGAAACUUGCCCCGAGAUGAGUUCUCCCUGAGACUUAGAGUCUCCUGAAGGAACGUUGAAGACGACGACGUUGAUAGGCCGGGUGUGUAAGCGCAGCGAUGCGUUGAGCUAACCGGUACUAAUGAACCGUGAGGCUUAACCUUACAACGCCGAAG